rnacentral:rRNA from 1 species
CGGGGUGCUGCACCAGUGGGGAAUAUUGGACAAUGGGGGAAACCCUGAUCCAGCAAUGCCGCGUGUGUGAAGAAGGCCUGCGGGUUGUAAAGCACUUUCGGUUGGGAGGACUGCUUCUAGCACUAAUAUUGUUGGAAGUUGACGUUACCUUCAGAAGAAGCACCGGCUAACUCCGUGCCAGCAGCGCGCGGUAAUACGGAGGGUGCAAGCGUUAAUCGGAAUUACUGGGCGUAAAGCGCGCGUAGGCGGCUAGAUCAGUCGGGUGUGAAAGCCCCGGGCUUAACCUGGGAACUGCAUCCGAUACUGUCUAGCUUGAGUACAGGAGAGGAGAGGGGAAUUCCACAUGUAGCGGUGAAAUGCGUAGAUAUGUGGAGGAACACCAAUGGCGAAGGCAGCUCUCUGGCCUGAUACUGACGCUGAGGUGCGAAAGCGUGGGGAGCAAACAGGAUUAGAUACCCCCGUAGUC